CAGGUUGAAGGUUGGGUAACACUAACUGGAGGACCGAACCGACUAAUGUUGAAAAAUUAGCGGAUGACCUGUGGCUGGGGGUGAAAGGCCAAUCAAACCGGGAGAUAGCUGGUUCUCCCCGAAAGCUAUUUAGGUAGCGCCUCGUGAAUUCAUCUCCGGGGGUAGAGCACUGUUUCGGCUAGGGGGCCAUCCCGGCUUACCAACCCGAUGCAAACUGCGAAUACCGGAGAAUGUUAUCACGGGAGACACACGGCGGGUGCUAACGUCCGUCGUGAAGAGGGAAACAACCCAGACCGCCAGCUAAGGUCCCAAAGUCAUGGUUAAGUGGGAAACGAUGUGGGAAGGCCCAGACAGCCAGGAUGUUGGCUUAGAAGCAGCCAUCAUUUAAAGAAAGCGUAAUAGCUCACUGGUCGAGUCGGCCUGCGCGGAAGAUGUAACGGGGCUAAACCAUGCACCGAAGCUGCGGCAGCGACACUCAGGUGUUGUUGGGUAGGGGAGCGUUCUGUAAGCCUGCGAAGGUGGCCUGUGAGGGUUGCUGGAGGUAUCAGAAGUGCGAAUGCUGACAUAAGUAACGAUAAAGCGGGUGAAAAGCCCGCUCGCCGGAAGACCAAGGGUUCCUGUCCAACGUUAAUCGGGGCAGGGUGAGUCGACCCCUAAGGCGAGGCCGAAAGGCGUAGUCGAUGGGAAACGGGUUAAUAUUCCCGUACUUGGUGUUACUGCGAAGGGGGGACGGAGAAGGCUAUGUUGGCCGGGCGACGGUUGUCCCGGUUUAAGCGUGUAGGUGUGUGUUCCAGGUAAAUCCGGUU
rnacentral:rRNA from 1 species